rnacentral:lncRNA from 1 species
UUUGGAGUGAGUUGAGCAGAGACAACAUCAAAGAAAGAAGACUCUCUGUUGGAAAAUGUCACACAUCCACUUGAUCUAAGACCAGAAAAUUCAGCUACUUCAAAUUUCUGCACAAACAAAGCAUGAGAAUUCAGAAAGACCAUAAUUUCUUAAACAUAUUAGCUAUGUUGAUCGGACUCUUCAAAAAUGUCAACGAUUGUCUGUGAUCUUUCAAAAGUAGUGCAUUUUUGGAGGAUCUGACACGAGUGAGGCAGUAUUUUUGGAAAGUCCGAACAACAUAGCAUCUUAGUACUAUCAAACAUACACUGGGAAGGAAAGGAAAGAAACCUUGGAUAAACAUUGUGUGGGGAAUGAGUAGGAGUUCUUAUUGGAAGGAAGCCUUGUGCUUGUAGGAAUUCUUGAAGAAGCCAAAGCUGCAUGAGAAGCCA